rnacentral:lncRNA from 1 species
GAAAAGAGAGAUUAGACAAGAGUCUAGACUAAAAAGGGAGUGGAGGAGAACAAAGUAACAGGGUAACAGUAACAUCUCGAGAAAGAGAGAUCUGACAGGGCACACACGAAUGGUGAUGGCGAGUGAGAGAGAGAGAGAGAUCUCAGUAUACAUCUCUGAUGCUGACUCUUUGUAUGGAAUGUGAUUGAGUUGGCGGCUCGUCCUCCCCGGCCAUUACGACCACCACCAACAGUUACUUAUUUUGCCAAUUUAGAGGGAGAGAAGAAGGAAAGAGCGCAACAAGCAGAGAGUGUUAGAAUAGAGGGGAAGUGGCGAAUUAAUAUGCAAUGACAAGCAUAGGCUCGAUUUUUGUGCUUAGCUUCCACCACUUUGAUGCUUUC